AGGUGGUAGGGGACCAGGUUGUCAAGGCGACGAGAAGAGGCGGACCGCAGAGGGUGAUCGGCCACCUGGUAACUAGGACACGGUCCAAAGUACAACGUGAGGAAGUAGUGUGGAAUAUUGCACAAGGGGCGAUCGCCGGAUGGAGCAUCGCCGAGGGAUUGAUGAAGGCCGUCGGGUCGUGAAACUCUGUCCUCAAGGAAGAUAAGGGCGGUACUUGAGGAGGAAGCCCCGGCUAACUACGUGCCAGUAGCCGCGGUAAUACGUAGUGUGCUAUCGUUAUCCGGAUGUACUGGGCGUAAAGGG
rnacentral:rRNA from 1 species